GACGCCAUGGUUCUCCUGCCCAAGACGGACGCUGGUUAGACUCAUGCGGUUCACAGCAUCAGCACUGGCUUCUAGGCUCCCAGGUGACAUGUCAUCUAAAUCCAUGAAGUGUCAAGAGACUGCUUGUGAUGAUCCUCAGAGAGCUGCUGUUUGGGAUGUGCUGUGUCCUGACUCUAUACUGACUGCUGUUUCACGGCUCUCACCUGCACCCACGCAGAGGACAUCUCAGCCUUUCUGUUAGCAGAGGGGCAGGGUGCUCAUGAGGUAGGCUCGCUGGAGCUGCAUGGAAAAUAACUGUUCUUCAGAGGACUGUGUACCAGGCUUGUCAGAGAGGCACCUGGACCCUGACUUCUGGGUUUCUUUAGGGUGGGGUUUGUUCAGUCUGCCUUCAGAUAACCCUGGCUUUCAUCCUGUUGUAAUUUUUAGAGAGAAUGACUAGCAGAUUGUCUUGAUAGUCAGAUGCUCCCUCCUGUGUUCUUCUGUAGCCAUUUUAACAUCUUUGUGUAAUUGUGUCAGAGUUCCCCUUCAAGGCAGUGCCCACUUGUGUGGCUAUGGAUGGUGUGGCUGGCAGAGUAUUCAGUGACUAUUGGGUGAACAUUCUUGCUGAGGACAGAUAGAGACUAAAGACAACUUGGUUUCAGCCUUUUAGAGUAGUUAUGAUUGAUUAAAAUAAGAGGAAAAGUCAUGUUCCCAACCUGGCUAGAAAUGUCUUGUCUGAGGACUGCAAAGCAGAGGAUAUCAAGAAUACAGUGGCUUGGUGGUUAAGAGCACUUGCUGCUUGUUCAGUUUGAAAGAAAAUAGCCCCCAAAGGGAGUGGCACUAUUAGGAGGUGUGACUUAGUUGGAGGAAGUGUGUCACUGUGGGGGUGGGCUUUGAGGUCUCCUAUGGUCACACUACACCCAGAGAGAUAGACCACUUCCUGUAGCCUAUGAAUCAAAAUGUAGGACUCUCAGCUCAUUCUCCAGCACCAUGUCGCACCAUGAUGAUAAUGAACUAAAAACCUCUGAAAAUGUAAGCCACCCUUGAAUGUUUUCCUUUAUAAGAGUUCCGUGGUCAUGAUGUCUCUUCACAGCAAUAGAAACCCUAAUACACUACUCUCACAUAGGAUUGAAGCUCAAUUCCCUACACCCACACCAGGUACCUCAAGACCAUCUUGUAACUGCAGCUGCAGAGGAUCCAGACCCUCUUCUGGACUCUGCAGGUACUAUUACAGACAUGGAAUACACAUAAAUUAAAAAAAGUAAGGACUUGCUACCACUGGACUAUAUCAUCAAAAGCAAGAAAUGUGCUAAAAGCUUGCCUCAGUUUUGUCUUCACAGAUGUAGAUGAAGAGAAAGAAUCUCUUUUACCUGCCAACCUUGUUAUGUUGCAGGAGGGAAGACAGACCAGAGAGCUGAGAGUAUGCGCUAUUCCGCCACCAGGAAAAUUUUAUCCUCUUAAAAACAGCACACGUAAGCAGCCUUGAUCACAUUUUUGGAUAAACUGCCACAGCAGCCCCUUUUCCCACUAAAAAGUAUAUAGGGGCUUCAUGAGGUCAGACCACAUUGUCCUGUCCAACUCAGUCCCCAGGCUCCCCCACCCCCGUAUCUGGCAAGCUCCAGCAUACUGCUAGUGUUUGGUACUCAGUACUAUGAAAAUAGAUGAGGUUUGCUAAGCCCUGCCCUACUCACGUCUCAUCAAAUAGUGGCUCCAGGGUCUUGCGCUUUACUGAGGUCUUCUUGCGACUUGUCCAUCGCCUUUCAGGCAAUAGGUAGAUGCGAACAUAGGGAUCAGCUCCACUGCUGGUACAUGGUGUCAGGUUUCUGA